rnacentral:rRNA from 1 species
UGGCGGCGUGCCUAACACAUGCAAGUCGAACGAGGUAGCAAUACCUAGUGGCAGACGGGUGAGUAACACGUGGUCAACCUUCCCUACAGUGGGGGAUAACUAGCCGAAAGGUUAGCUAAUACCGCAUAACAUCUACGAGUGGCAUCACAUGUAGAUCAAAGGAGUAAUCCGCUGAAGGAUGGGACCGCGCCCGAUUAGUUAGUUGGUGGGGUAAUGGCCUACCAAGACUCCGAUCGGUAGCUGGUUUGAGAGAGCGACCAGCCACACUGGGACUGAGAAACGGCCCAGACUCCUACGGGAGGCAGCAGUGAGGAAUUUUCCGCAAUGGGCGAAAGCCUGACGGAGCGACGCCGCGUGUGGGAAGAAGGCCUUCGGGUCGUAAACCACUGUCGAAGGGGAAGAUAAUGACGGUACCCUUGGAGGAAGCCCCGGCUAACUACGUGCCAGCAGCCGCGGUAAGACGUAGGGGGCGAGCGUUAUUCGGAAUUAUUGGGCGUAAAGCGCUCGUAGGCGGGACCGAAAG